rnacentral:rRNA from 1 species
UGGGGAAUAUUGCACAAUGGGCGCAAGCCUGAUGCAGCCAUGCCGCGUGUGUGAAGAAGGCCUUCGGGUUGUAAAGCACUUUCAGCGAGGAGGAAGGGUAGUGUGUUAAUAGCACAUUGCAUUGACGUUACUCGCAGAAGAAGCACCGGCUAACUCCGUGCCAGCAGCCGCGGUAAUACGGAGGGUGCAAGCGUUAAUCGGAAUUACUGGGCGUAAAGCGCACGCAGGCGGUUUGUUAAGUCAGAUGUGAAAUCCCCGCGCUUAACGUGGGAACUGCAUUUGAAACUGGCAAGCUAGAGUCUUGUAGAGGGGGGUAGAAUUCCAGGUGUAGCGGUGAAAUGCGUAGAGAUCUGGAGGGAUACCGGUGGCGAAGGCGGCCCCCCUGGACAAAGACUGACGCUCAGGUGCGAAAGCGUGGGGAGCAAAACAGGAUUAGAUACCCUGGUAGUCCACGCUGUAAACGAUGUCGACUUGGAGGUUGUGCCCUUGAGGCGUGGCUUCCGGAGCUAACGCGUUAAGUCGACCGCCUGGGGGAGUACGGCCGCAAGGUUAAAAC